rnacentral:miRNA from 2 species
UGAGGCAGUAGAUUGAAU